rnacentral:rRNA from 1 species
AUAUAGGACAAUGGGCGAAAGCUUGAUCCAGCCAUGCCGUGUGUGUGUAGUUGGUCAUCGGAUUGUAACGCACUUUACGUUGGGAGGAAGGGACGUAAGUUAAUACUUCGCUGUUUUCACGUUACCGACAGAAUACGCACAGGAUAAAUACGUGCAAGGAGCCGCGGUAAUACGAAGAGCGCAAGCGUUAAUCUGAAUUACUGGGCGUAAAGCGCGCGUAGGUGGUGUGUUAAGUGGGAAGUGAGAACCCCGGGCUCAACCUGGGAACUGCUUACAAAACUGGCAAGCGAGAGUAUGGCAGAGGGUAGUGGAAUUUCCUGUGUAGCGGUGAAAUGCGUAGAUAUAGGAAGGAACACCAGUGGCGAAGGCGACCACCUGGGCUAAUACUGACACUGAGGUGCGAAAGCGUGGGGAGCAAAC